UGGGUUCAACUGCCUUUUCUACCACUU
rnacentral:piRNA from 1 species